UACGUAGGGUGCGAGCGUUGUCCGGAAUUAUUGGGCGUAAAGGGCUCGUAGGCGGUUUGUCGCGUCGGGAGUGAAAACCCAGGGCUUAACCCUGGGCUGGCUUCCGAUACGGGCAGACUAGAGGUAUGCAGGGGAGAACGGAAUUCCUGGUGUAGCGGUGAAAUGCGCAGAUAUCAGGAAGAACACCAAUGGCGAAAGCAGCUUUCUGGGACGGUACUGACGCUGAGACGCGAAAGCGUGGGGAGCGAACAGG
rnacentral:rRNA from 1 species